rnacentral:lncRNA from 1 species
CCUGAUAUGAUUUGGUGGCUCCAUUAAUAUUUUUGCUCUUCGUUCUUGUACUUUUCAGAAGGAUUUAAGAAUAGAGGAGCUAAAGUCGUCCAUCAUAGAAUAUAGAAGCAUUACAGAGAAUUUACGAGGGGAGAAAAAUGAACUGGCUUACGAGUUACAGAAGUUGCAGCAGGAGCUCAUCCUAAAUAGGAUCCAGUUGAAUGGCGGUGGAGAGCCCAGCAGAGUCCUCUGUGAAGGAGAAAACUCUUUACACCGUGAACUCAUCCUUGCCCGAUCAACAGAGAACGAUGCAACUGAGUGGCGGUGGGGUUCAACCAGCUUGUCCUCCCUGGGUGCAACGACGGACCAAGAAAGGCUGCUGUUCCUCAGGCAGCCCGAACGCAAGUGUGUGGACUUCACAGUUGCACUUCGGACGCUGUUCAAAGAAAUUUCCGAAGUUGGAGCCUUCAUUGAUAGCACCUUCCAGUGGGUAACUAAUCCAGAAAUUGCUCUCAGAGGAAAGUGGGUGCAGCAGCUCACUGUAAGUGCUGUGUAUACCGUGAUUUUCCUGUGGGUUUCUUCCACUUGGAUAACUCGGGUGACACUGAAUAUAUGCGACACAAUUUCUAAGACUUCUGCUUAGUCUGAUGAUGAGUAUGGAGUGUGUGUCGGCAGGUGUGUGGGUGUAUGGGUGAGUGCACGGAUGGGAGACUUACAGCAAGCAAAUAUGUGUAACCCCAGGGGUGAGGAGAGAGAGGAGUGUGACGAUGUGUGAAACCUGGUGGAGAGAUAGGGCAUUCACGAG